GAAAAACAACUUUAUAUCGGAGUUGUCUCGAGAUGGCUAUGCAUUUUCGUGGCAUAAGGCUAGUAAUCAUAUCAUUUCUCCAUUGAAUACAGACGGUCGACGUAAACAACCCUCGUCGAAUAUUCAAUGCUGGAUUACAAUAAUGAGAUGCAUCCACCAAUCCAAAGAAAGGAAAGGCGGAAGUUAGGCAGCCCGGUGAGUCGCUUUGUGGACAACGACUCCCAUCGUUAGGUCCGGAGAGACAUAUAUAAACCUGUCAGUAUAGCCAUAAUCUUUGAUAAUAAAAGUAAAUGAACAAAGAAGUAGACCAGACCCAGCUGCUAUUGCAUUUGGUGUCUAUAAGAGACAUCUCGUUAAGUAGACCGGAACUGACCUUUUUUUGUUGUUGUUGUAAACGGCGAGUGAACCAUCUUAAUUUAUCCACCAUCUUUGGUGUGUUCAGGAGGAAGUGGAACAUGUAAACACACAACAAUGUCAGCCGUAGACCUAGUGCUCUGCAGCCAGACCUUACUUCUGCACAGUUAUCAAGCUAUAUCAGACCCAUAUCCAUCCAUACAGAACACUUGUCGGCUCUGCGGUCAAAAUCUGCUCAUCAAGGGGACAUUACAGGCAACACGAAGAAUAUUUGACAAGCCUAAAGCCUCAAAGGAAAAAGGUUAUGUGAUAGAUUCCUUGCCACCGGUUUAGUGCUAACUGAAGCACCAGGGGUGAAAUCGGGCAGAAUUUGUGCAAAGUGUUAUAGACUAUUUCUCAGGAUAGAGGAAUCUGUAAGCGUUUUAAAGAAAUGGCAAUCGGAGCAUCAGACACCGGGGACGAGCAAGAAGAGGAAGCGUGAACGGGAACCGAGUCCAUCUGAAACAGACAAGGGAACCAAGAAGACAUCUGAACGGGAACCGAGUCCAUCUGGAACAGACAAGGGAGCCAAGAAGACAUCUGAACGGGAACCGAGUCCAUCUGAAACAGACCGGGCUGCCAAGAAGACAUGUCCUCCCUAUAAAAAGGUUCCCCCGAGGAGCAGUCUUGUCGAGGUUGUCAUAACAUACCCUAACCAAUUGGAUCCAAAGCUGAAAAAGAGGGUUGAGAAGGUUUCAUCCGAAUUUUCCGGAAUGGUUGAAAACUUGGCAAAAGGCAAAUUGACGACAUUUGUCAGGUUAGCCUUGACGAAUGAAACCAUGUGUCAAGAAAUCAGAAAGCAGAUGACACAGAAAAUAGAAGCAGAGGUCAAGGCAUAUGCAAGACCCUUAAAUUACCUGACUUGUGCUGAACCUUGCAUCUUGAGUAGUACCUCGUUGGAGAAUAUGAAGUGUUUUUCAUACAAAGCGUUGGAUGAUGAGUUGUCCAAGAAGACACCAUGGCUUUAUACCACCAUCAAUACUGCAACAGGUGGAUCCACCAUCCAUAACUGUGUAGCCGCCUCUGUGGCCCUGAGAGGUAGAAACCCCAGGCUUUCUGCACUGGCCUAUGUCAUCAACUCCACACUGACCCAAGGAGGGGUUAAGCCCAUUUUCAAAAGACUCUCUAAGAUGGGCAUAACAACCACACACAGCAAUGUCCUAAAUAAGCAGAAAGAGAUGAAGGCAGCUGGGUACAACAUCAACAUCAAAUGCUGGAGGGAGGACUGUGAGCUGUUUUUCCAACAUAGUAUCAACGGUGAAGUCUGCCCACGACCACCUCCUACUGCUAAACCGACAGAGGAGACCGGAAGAGAGGAAGAAGAGGAGGAGGACAAGGGUCCAGUGGAGGAUGAGUUUGAAAUAGAGCUGGACUGGGGUCCACUGGAGGAAGAGGGUGAAGGAGAUGAGGAAGAGUGGAGUCCACUGUCAGAAGAGACAGAAAGAGAGGAGGACAGAGGAUCUACAGUGGAGGAAGAGAGAGGAGAGGAGAAAGCCCGGGGUUCCCUGCUAGGAGAGACAGAAAGAGAGGAAGAGGGACAAACAUUAUCAGCACUAGAAGGAAAUGACAGACAGGAAGAGGAUUCUGAUUCAACAGUGGAUUCAGAGACUGAAUACUUUGGAUUAAACCUCACCUGUGAGAGUGAUUAGAGAAGUAGCCUAACAAAGAGUCUGUAGAUUACAGAUCUAGACCUGGGCUACAUCUCUGAACAACAAGGCCCUAAUCAUAGAAUACAUCCCAAAUGGCACCCUAUUCCCUUUAUAGUGCACUACUUUUGACCAGGGCCAUUUGGGACAGAAUCAUACAGUGAAAUUACUCAUGUUGAGGGGGGUCAGGAUGUGAGGUCUACUGUUCCUGGUGUAUUGAGGGGGUCAGGAUGUGAGGUCUACUGUUCCUGGUGUAUUGAGGGGUCAGGAUGUGAGGUCUACUGUUCCUGGUGUAUUGAGGGGGUCAGGAUGUGAGGUCUACUGUUCCUGGUGUAUUGAGGGGUCAGGAUGUGAGGUCUACUGUUCCUGGUGUGUUGAGGGGGUCAGGAUGUGAUGUCUACUGUUCCUGGUGUAUUGAGGGGUCAGGAUGUGAGGUCUACUGUUCCUGGUGUAUUGAGGGGUUAGGAUGUGAGGUCUACUGUUCCUGGUGUGUUGAGGGGGUCAGGAUGUGAGUACAGUGUGUUGAGGGGGUCAGGAUGUGAGUACAGUGUGUUGAGGGGGUCAGGAUGUGAGUACAGUGUGUUGAGGGGGUCAGGAUGUGAGUACAGUGUGUUGAGGGGUCAGGAUGUGAGUACAGUGUGUAUUGAGGGGUCAGGAUGUGAGUACAGUGUGUUGAGGGGGUCAGGAUGUGAGUACAGUGUGUUGAGGGGGUCAGGAUGUGAGUACAGUGUGUUUACAACGGUAUUAAAGAGACCAGCUCCAUUUAGAUGUUCAAUUCAAACUUUAUUUUUUGUUAUUUGGUACUUCCCCAAAUGGCACCCUAUUCCCUAUAUAGGAUUCUGGUCAGAAGGAAUGCACUGAAUGAAUAGGGUGUCAUUUGUGACGAAACCCUUGAAUAGAAAAAUGAAUAAAAAAUAAACCUAUAUCCAGUAUUCCAUAGAGGGGUCUGUUCAUGUCUGGGUUAUUGUUCAGGAAACAGAGGUCUUACCUGAACCUGUCCAAUAAGAACACAGGUUUUUGUUUUGCUACAUCGUGUUCUACUGAAUAGGACCCUGUUACCACGACACUAUCAAUGAUGUCACGGUCACAUGUUUGGCCUGUAGCCCUCAGGGACAGGUCUGUGUUCUUGUGGCUGGGACAGAUGGCGUCUCCAGGUUAGGGUAUGGUAAGGUGCCUGGGAACCACAAACAUCCACUUUGUUAUGUCCAUGUUGUUAUAAUUAUAUUUAAUUUGGGAUUUGUUCUCAAUUAAUUAUCUGGGUAAAUAAAGGUUAGACGAACACAAGAUUUGACCUGUCUUUAUCAUGAUGGACACCAGGCAGCCACCCAUACAGCCUUGUAAAUGAUGAUGGCAGACAUUUUGUUUUCCAAAACUCACCAAAUGUCUGCAUCUCCCACAGCACGAUGCCAAAUGCCCACACGUCCCCCUUGAAGCUGUAAUAGUUGGUUUUCUGACCGGCCAGGUCACAGUGCACCCACCACCUGUAAGUACAGGUCAGAGAUCAGGACUAAUAAAUGUUCUGUAGCUGUGUGUAUGGGUUACUGUCUGUAAGAAAUGAUCGUAGGUCACAGUGCACCACCUGGAACACAGACCCCAGAUCAUUUACUGUCUGUCUAAUGUCAGGUCCCAAACCAGUAAUGCAGGUGGCAGUUGGUGUCAUAAGGAAUGAGUGGGAGGAGGAGGAAACUGGCUUCCAUUUUGGAUCGGAGGUGUUCCAUGGCCAGUGUGAUGUGAUAAGAGGUGAUGGUGAGCAGGCUCUGUAGCUCAGGGUCAGGGGUCAUCUCGUCUCUGUGGGUCUGAAGGAAGCGCCAACACACAGGACUCUGGGAGAACUACACACAGGACUCUGGGAGAUCGACACACAGGACUCUGGGAGAACGACACACAGGGCUCUGGGAGAUCGACACACAGGACUCUGGGAGAACGACACACAGGACUCUGGGAGAACGACACACAGGACUCUGGGAGAUCGACACACAGGACUCUGGGAGAUCAACACACAGGACUCUGGGAGAUCAACACACAGGACUCUGGGAGAUCACCACAUAACACAGAAUUCAUGAUGUUGUAGUAAAUAUGUUAUAGAUGUGCCACUCGUUUCUAUUCCUUAUGGAGACUAAUAUAAAUAAUAACGACUCCCAAAGUGGUAGAUUAUCACACAGUAUUUUUUUCUUAUUUUGGUCAUGGGAGGAUGGUCAGUUUCUCAUUUGGGUCUCAGGCUGAAAAAGUUUAAGAACCCCAAAUGUAGGGAAUAGGCUGCCAUUUGAGAUACAAACUGUGUGACCUUACCCCCACUAAAGCAGUGUCUCGUUGCCCCCUCAGUCUCAAUGGACAUUUCAUCUCUGGUCAUUAUGGGUAUAAGAUUAUCAAGGAGUGGACUGGUGGUAGCCUAGCCUAGCGUUCCCUCUUUGAUGAGCUGGUGGUAGCCUAGCCUAGUGUUCCCUCUGAUCUGGUGGUAGCGUAGCCUAGCGUUCCCUCUGUGGUGUUCCCUCUUUGAUGAGCUGGUGGUAGCCUAGUGUUCCCUCUUUGGUGAUCUGGUGGUAGCCUAGCCUAGUGUUCCCUCUUUGGUGAUCUGGUGGUAGCGUAGCCUAGCGUUCCCUCUUUGGUGAUCUGGUGGUAGCGUAGCCUAGCGUUCCCUCUUUGGUGGUCUGGUGGUAGCGUAGCCUAGCGUUCCCUCUUUGGUGAUCUGGUGGUAGCGUAGCCUAGCGUUCCCUCUUUGGUGAUCUGGUGGUAGCGUAGCCUAGCGUUCCCUCUUUGGUGAUCUGGUGGUAGCGUAGCCUAGCGUUCCCUCUUUGGUGGUCUGGUGGUAGCGUAGCCUAGCGUUCCCUCUUUGGUGGUCUGGUGGUAGCGUAGCCUAGCUUUCCCUCUUUGGUGAUCUGGUGGUAGCGUAGCCUAGCGUUCCCUCUUUGGUGAUCUGGUGGUAGCGUAGCCUAGCGUUCCCUCUUUGGUGAUCUGGUGGUAGCGUAGCCUAGCGUUCCCUCUUUGGUGGUCUGGUGGUAGCGUAGCCUAGCGUUCCCUCUUUGGUGAUCUGGUGGUAGCGUAGCCUAGCGUUCCCUCUUUGGUGAUCUGGUGGUAGCGUAGCCUAGCGUUCCCUCUUUGGUGGUCUGGUGGUAGCGUAGCCUAGCGUUCCCUCUUUGGUGAUCUGGUGGUAGCGUAGCCUAGCGUUCCCUCUUUGGUGAUCUGGUGGUAGCUCCUCAGGGCCCUCUCUCUCCCCAGCUUCUCUCUCCCCAGGCUCUCUGCUCCUGAGGGCCCUCUCUUUCCCCAGCCUCUCCUCAGGGCCCUACCCACCCGUUUAACCCUACCCACCCCACCCGUCUAACCCUACCUACCUGUCUAACCCUACCCACCUACCUACCCACCUGUCCUCUUAAAAGAGCACCUGGUGAGGCUACAUCCGUUCCAUAACACUCCACAUUAAACUGUAAACUGGCACUGCCCAACAAUAGACAGACGUCGUCUCGGCCUAACUCACCGAAUCGCUGUAAACAAGAGACCCGAAAGCCUGCUAUUGUGUUUCUCUGCCAGUAUCUGAGAGAAAGUCAGAACCCUUGAAGAGAAGACACUCGUUGAGAGAAAAACAGACAUACAUUAAACACAUCAUGCGGUGUUAU
rnacentral:lncRNA from 1 species